GCGCGGAGCUCCCUACGUCGGUUCUAUCUCUUACUUCUCUCCUCGCCUUAUCUUUCAGCUUCGGAAGCGAAAACCAAAGAGAAAACACUUUAUGGCGACCCCAACCAACACGCCUACUCUUAGCCAUUGGAUCUCCUUUUUUCAAAAUGAUCUGACCGUCACAAUUAAAACCUCUCUAAUUCACCUUUUUCAUUUAUUACAACAAAAAAAUGUCUAGUUUGGUUCCUUGGAGGGAACAUCCUCUCCCUCUAGUAAACCGUUGAGGGCCUUUCUGUCAACCAAAAAAAUACCUGUCCAAGAAAUGUGUCCCC
rnacentral:lncRNA from 1 species